rnacentral:rRNA from 1 species
GUGGGGAUCUUGCGCAUGGUCGAAGGCUGACGCAGCGACGCCGCGUGGAGGACGAAGGCCUUCGGGUUGUAAACUCCUUUUCUGGGGGACGAAUAAGGUCAGUAGGUAAUGGCUGACCGAUGACGGUGCCCCAGGAACAAGCGCCGGCUAACUUCGUGCCAGCAGCCGCGGUAAGACGAAGGGCGCAAGCGUUAUCCGGAAUUACUGGGCGUAAAGGGCGUCUAGGCGGCCAAUCAAGUCAACGUUGAAAGCCCUUGGCUAAACUGAGGGAUGUACCGUCGAAACUGAUUGGCUCGAGGAACGUAGAGGAAGGCGGAACUCUCGGAGUAGCGGUGAAAUGCGUAGAGACCGAGAGGUACCCCGAUGGUGAAGACAGCCUUCUGGGCGUUUCCUGACGCUGAAGCGCUAAGGCCAGGGGAGCGAAGGGGAUUAGAUACCCCCGUAGUCCUGGCUUCAAACGAUGUGGGCUUGGUGUCGGCUCCCGACAGAGAGUCGUUGCCGGAGUUAACGCGUUAAGCCCACCGCCUGGGGAUUACGUCCGCAAGGAUGAAACUCAAGGGAAUUGACGGGGGCCCACACAACCGGUGGAGCACGUGGUUUAAUUCGAUGAUAAGCGAAGAACCUUACCAGGGCUUGACCUAGCGGUAGUAGGACCCUUGAAAAGGGGAACGACCUCAAGCUUUGCUUGAGGAGCCUGGCAGGUAUUGCAUUGGCUGUCGUCAGCUCGUGUCGUGGGACGUUUGGGUU